rnacentral:tRNA from 1 species
AGACUUUAGCUUUAAUUAAAGUGUCUGAGUUGCAGUUAGAUGAUGUGAGUUAUGGCUUGCAGGUUUUC